rfam:TPA: Bos taurus chromosome X, whole genome shotgun sequence.
UUCCUGGUGGUCCAGGGGCUAGGACUCCAAGCUCCCAAUGCAGGGGGCCCAGGUUCGAUCCCUGGUCAGGGAA